UACAGAGGUGCCAAGCGUUGUUCGGAAUUACUGGGCGUAAAGGGCUCGUAGGCGGCCAACUAAGUCGGACGUGAAAUCCCCAGGCUCAACCUGGGAACUGCGUCCGAUACUGGAUGGCUUGAAUCCGGGAGAGGGAUGCAGAAUUCCAGGUGUAGCGGUGAAAUGCGUAGAUAUCUGGAGGAAUACCGGUGGCGAAGGCGGCAUCCUGGACCGGCAUUGACGCUGAGGAGCGAAAGCCAGGGGAGCAAACGGG
rnacentral:rRNA from 1 species